UGUUUCAGCCAGUCUUCACUCUGGUUGGGAGUCAAGUCCCGCCUCCUAUAUCGCAUUCAUACCCAGCAGCUUUAGGCGCUGAGUUGGAUAGAGGGUGACAGAAGAUCAGAACGGCAGACACAAUAGGGCAGGGGUGCAGAGAGCCAUUAAUAUAGAAUCACUGUGGAGCGAUGACUACAUAACAUUUCCACGACUUUUGGAAAGUUCCCCUGAGUUUGGAAAGAGCCACCCAAGGAAUCUCCUCUGCUGCGUCUGCAGCCCGCGCCUUUUGCCGGGCGGCUGGCGCAUUUCUUCCAGAGAAUACGGAUCCGAAUUAUUACAGAGGAGCCUCGGCCGCAGUCUCUCCAGCCGCCGCCAGAGGGAAACCUGAUCCCAUGCAGGAUUCCUAGGGGCUCCCAGAGAAGCCCCAGGCUGUGCGGCUGCCUGCUGGUUCUGGGAAUGGCUGAGCCUUGGAAAAUCAAAGAGAAUAGAAAGUAAUUCUCCAUGUGUCUUCCUCUAGCUCCACCGGUGCUCAGCAUUUGGUCAAUCUAGUUUAAAACCAUCCCCCUAUAGCCUGCUUUUUUUCCUUAAAGAAUCUUCAAGCAAAU
rnacentral:lncRNA from 1 species